rnacentral:lncRNA from 1 species
AUCCUCGCAGUGUGGCACAGCUAAGUCUUAACACUUCGAGCAUUUCAGAGCAGGAAUGGAGGAAAUGCUGAAGCAGAGAGAUGACUAAAAGGCCAAGUGGGUGCUGGGUCAGAGGAUGGAGAGCAUGACUGAUGGCAUUUGAAGGCCACUCUGUGAAACAGACACCAGCUGAGGCUCACAGUCCUGUUCCACUGCCAUGAUGGAGGCUUUUCUAGUGUUAAAUAAAUCCCUGAGAAGUGCAGUUGCUCCAGGACAGCCCAUUCAGCCAGCCCAGCUCCAGGAGGGCCCACACCAGGCGGAGGAGCACUGCAGGUUAGAGGGGUGAGAGCAUGCUUCCUCCCUCAGCCCACCUUGCAGCUACCGUGUGUCACAGCUUAGUUUUGCCUGUCUUCACUUUCUUUCAUCUAAGACGUGGGACAUGGAUCUGUGAUUUAAAUGCCUGAGAACAUCACUUCAAAUUGCACAUAUCCCCGCUGAGAGCCUGAGACAGAUGCCAAGGCUGCUGCUUUAUAGUCAGUAACAUCAAGGCUGACUCAGGUUAUGAGAGAAACCCGUCCUCUGCUGAAAUCAAUGAAAUUCCUUCACGUAGU